AGAGUUUGAUCAUGGCUCAGAUUGAACGCUGGCGGCAGGCCUAACACAUGCAAGUCGAACGGUAACAGGAAACAGCUUGCUGUUUCGCUGACGAGUGGCGGACGGGUGAGUAAUGUCUGGGAAACUGCCUGAUGGAGGGGGAUAACUACUGGAAACGGUAGCUAAUACCGCAUAACGUCGCAAGACCAAAGAGGGGGACCUUCGGGCCUCUUGCCAUCAGAUGUGCCCAGAUGGGAUUAGCUAGUAGGUGGGGUAACGGCUCACCUAGGCGACGAUCCCUAGCUGGUCUGAGAGGAUGACCAGCCACACUGGAACUGAGACACGGUCCAGACUCCUACGGGAGGCAGCAGUGGGGAAUAUUGCACAAUGGGCGCAAGCCUGAUGCAGCCAUGCCGCGUGUAUGAAGAAGGCCUUCGGGUUGUAAAGUACUUUCAGCGGGGAGGAAGGGAGUAAAGUUAAUACCUUUGCUCAUUGACGUUACCCGCAGAAGAAGCACCGGCUAACUCCGUGCCAGCAGCCGCGGUAAUACGGAGGGUGCAAGCGUUAAUCGGAAUUACUGGGCGUAAAGCGCACGCAGGCGGUUUGUUAAGUCGGAUGUGAAAUCCCCGGGCUCAACCUGGGAACUGCAUCUGAUACUGGCAAGCUUGAGUCUCGUAGAGGGGGGUAGAAUUCCAGGUGUAGCGGUGAAAUGCGUAGAGAUCUGGAGGAAUACCGGUGGCGAAGGCGGCCCCCUGGACGAAGACUGACGCUCAGGUGCGAAAGCGUGGGGAGCAAACAGGAUUAGAUACCCUGGUAGUCCACGCCGUAAACGAUGUCGACUUGGAGGUUGUGCCCUUGAGGCGUGGCUUCCGGAGCUAACGCGUUAAGUCGACCGCCUGGGGAGUACGGCCGCAAGGUUAAAACUCAAAUGAAUUGACGGGGGCCCGCACAAGCGGUGGAGCAUGUGGUUUAAUUCGAUGCAACGCGAAGAACCUUACCUGGUCUUGACAUCCACGGAAGUUUUCAGAGAUGAGAAUGUGCCUUCGGGAACCGUGAGACAGGUGCUGCAUGGCUGUCGUCAGCUCGUGUUGUGAAAUGUUGGGUUAAGUCCCGCAACGAGCGCAACCCUUAUCCUUUGUUGCCAGCGGUCCGGCCGGGAACUCAAAGGAGACUGCCAGUGAUAAACUGGAGGAAGGUGGGGAUGACGUCAAGUCAUCAUGGCCCUUACGACCAGGGCUACACACGUGCUACAAUGGCGCAUACAAAGAGAAGCGACCUCGCGAGAGCAAGCGGACCUCAUAAAGUGCGUCGUAGUCCGGAUUGGAGUCUGCAACUCGACUCCAUGAAGUCGGAAUCGCUAGUAAUCGUGGAUCAGAAUGCCACGGUGAAUACGUUCCCGGGCCUUGUACACACCGCCCGUCACACCAUGGGAGUGGGUUGCAAAAGAAGUAGGUAGCUUAACCUUCGGGAGGGCGCUUACCACUUUGUGAUUCAUGACUGGGGUGAAGUCGUAACAAGGUAACCGUAGGGGAACCUGCGGUUG
rnacentral:rRNA from 1 species